rfam:Vicugna pacos cont1.305997, whole genome shotgun sequence.
CUGAGAGGACCCCCUCUUCUGCACGUGCACUCACAUGGAAGAUCUGGGAAACUCUCUAAAACACCUUUGAAAGAUAUCGUUCACAAUUCAGCC